AGUAUUUAUUUCAAAGUGCCUGCAGCGUUUUAUCACCGUGUGGACAUUAGUGGAGUUAAAUAUCUGCUCAGAGGAUUCUAUAACCAACACAGAUUAUGAAUUAGAUUAUUAGGGACAGAUGCCCACUCUGCAUGCUGGUGAAACAUGUCACAUGACGCAUGGUGCCUCAGUGUUGCACUCUUAAGUAGCCUGCCAACUGCAGAGGGGGACAGAGAGGCUUCCUUCUUCUCUGGACUCACCUCCAUGCCAAAGCAGCGGCUCCUCAUUGACCUCUACGCCGCCUCCUAUGCCUCUUACACCUCCUGCUGAGCCGGACCCGGAACCGAAGAUGAACUGGGCGUCGUUUUAUGCCGUCAUCAGCGGUGUGAACAGACACUCCACAGGCAUCGGCCGUAUCUGGCUCUCUGUUCUCUUCAUUUUCCGCAUCCUGGUUCUGGUGGUGGCGGCGGAGAGCGUUUGGGGCGACGAGAAGUCCGGCUUCACCUGCAACACGCAGCAGCCGGGCUGCAACAGCGUCUGCUACGACCACUUCUUCCCCAUCUCACACAUCCGCCUCUGGGCGCUGCAGCUCAUCCUGGUGUCCACGCCCGCCCUGCUGGUGGCCAUGCACGUGGCCCACCGCCGCCACGUCGACAAGAGGCUCUACAAACUCUCAGGGCGCACCAACCCCAAAGACCUGGAGCAGAUUAAGACCCAGAAGAUGAAGAUCACAGGGGCUCUGUGGUGGACGUACGUCAUCAGCCUGCUGUUCCGGAUCGUCUUCGAGGUCACCUUCAUGUAUCUGUUUUAUAUGAUCUACCCCGGGUACAAGAUGAUCCGGCUGGUCAAGUGUGACUCGUACCCCUGUCCCAACACGGUGGACUGCUUCGUGUCGAGGCCCACAGAGAAGACUGUCUUCACCGUGUUCAUGCUGGCGGCCUCGGGGGUCUGUAUUCUGCUCAACAUAGCGGAGGUGGUCUUCCUGGCGGGGAAGGCCUGCAGUAAGCACCUGCACACUGCUGGAGACUCGACUUUGGGGGCUUGGAUCCAACAAAAACUCUGCUCGUACUAACAGAAACACACAGAUUCCACACCGGCUCAGAGGGACAUCAAGGUGACAUUAGACAACAAACAUGGUCUCACAGGAAUCCGUGAAAUAGCCACGGAUUUGCUUAACUCAAAAUCCGAGGAAUAGCCACGGAAUCAAGGCAAGGCAAGGCAAGUUUAUUUGUAUAGCACAAUUCAACACAAGGUAAUUCAAAGUGCUUUACAUACACAUUAAAAACAGCAAGACACAAUUGAAAACAGUAAAAACAGUCAAUUAAAACAGGGAAAUAGAAAUAAAAGUAUAAAUAGGAUAAAAUAAGAUGCAGCAGGAUAAAAAAAAGAUAAAAUAAUAAAAAGCACAAGUCAAACAUUGUGUAGUUAAAAAGUAAGGGCAGUAGAGUAGAGCAGAUAAGUGUUAAAGUUAUAUCACCAUUAACAUGAAUUUAGGAUGCACAUUGCUAACCAAGUUCUCUAGCUAUUGUUACCAAUAUCUGACCUGGCCUUUCAGCCAAAUAUGGUCACUUCUGCCUCCAAAAAAACUAAAAUGGUACUGGCCAAAAUGGUGACUACACCCUCAUCUUCUACAGUCUUUGA